AGCUCUCCGAGUGGUGUGGAUGUUUAUUGGGCCUAAAGCAUCCGUAGCUGGCUAGGUCAGUCCCUUGUUAAAUCCACCGAAUUAAUCGUUGGAUUGCGGGGGAUACUGCUUGGCUAGGGGACGAGAGAGGCAGACGGUAUUUUCGGGGUAGGGGUGAAAUCCUAUAAUCCCGGGAAGACCACCAGUGGCGAAGGCUGUCUGCUAGAACGCGCCCGACGGUGAGGGAUGAAAGCUGGGGGAGCGAACC
rnacentral:rRNA from 1 species